UGUCUUCAGGAUGAAUAUUAAUAUUAAAUUUAACAUCUUUCCCUUAUAUAUCAUAAAUUAUUAUAAUUUUGAUUCCCUGCAUAAAAUUACUUUCUUAAAGAUUAUAUAAAAUUGGUCUUACUCAAUUGGAAUAAUCUUUUUUUACUCAAUUAAAAUUUUUUUUCAAUUAUGUAUAGAAACUAUUUCCCCCUCUUUCCAUACUGAAGAAGGUAGGUAAAAUGAUAUAGUUUAUACAUAUGUUAUCAUAUAAUACACAUUUCCCUGUUUGUCAUAUUGUUAAACAUUAUAUAUUGCUUUCAUUAGAAGAAACUUCAGGGAGGAAAAAAAGUGAAGAAUGACAAAUUUCAGUCUUCAUUCGGACACCAUCUGUGGUUCUGAAUAUCUUUUUUCAUCAUAAAUCCCUUGGAGUUUUCCUGUAUCCUUGCAUUGUUGAUAGUAAAGUCAUUCAGAGCUGAUCAUACAUUAAUAAAAAUUUUAGGUAAAGAAAGAUGCUACCUCUCCAAAUCCAGAAAUGGAACUGUUGGAGAAGAUACCAUGAAGACGCCUCCAGACCACAAGCUGCACAAGAAGAUAAAAAUUAACUUUGGGUGUGGUUGAUUGAACAUUUAUUUGUAUCUAUACUUUCAUGACAAAGGGGACUGGCCCCUAACUGACUUUUUGUCAAUGUGUCUGGCAACUAUUGGCUUUGUUCUUUUUUUCCUCUUAUCCUCAAAUUAUUAUACUCUUUAAGUUGAUUAUGUUUUCAUGAUCCUUUGGGGAAAUUAUUUUUCCGGGGAAAUGUAAAAAUGGAGAUUUGAACCCCGGACUUCAAUCCCCAGAAGUCCUUGCUCUAGUUCCCAAGAUGCCCUCUAAUCUCACCUAAAUUCCCACCUGUGCUGAGAACAGAAAUUGUUUUUAAACUGACUCCAUCUUCUGCUGGCUCUCUUCCUGCUUGCAUUUCCAGAGACACAUGUCUCUCAUGAUGUAGUGUAAGUGAAUGGGCCAUUCGGCCCUCCUAUGCACAUGCUUUCUUAUUUUGUAUUUUCUUUAUUUUUUAAUCUUUAAUAAACCUCUA
rnacentral:lncRNA from 1 species